rnacentral:rRNA from 1 species
UGAGCAAUCUGCCCUUCACAUCGGAAUAAGCGUUGGAAACGACGUCUAAUGCCGAAUACGACCUCCUUUCGCAUGAUCGGAGGUGGAAAGCUCCGGCGGAGAAGGAUGAGCUCGCGGCCUAUCAGCUAGUUGGUGUGGGUAAUGGCCCACCAAGGCGACGGCGGGUAGCCGGCCUGAGAGGGUGACCGGCCACACUGGGACUGAGACACGGCCCAGACCUCCGUACGGGAGCAG